GGGAAAAAGAAAAAAGGUAGUCAGUGUUUUUGUUUCAGUUUUACCAGGCUUGAUAAUAUCCCCAAACUUAGAGUAUUUUAAACCAAAUGACAUGAAGCUCAAACAUCAAGACAUGCAAGUGCCAGAAAAAAAAAACAAACCCAGAACUGCUGGGAGCAGCAGCUUCUGCUUGGAAGUGGCUCUUACUCAAUAUUUUGCUAUAUGCAGGGAACUAUUCUAAAAGAAGUGGAAGUUUGUCCUUCUGUAUUUGAGCACCACCAUCCCAAUCACAAAUAAUAUUCUUUCCUCAAAAGAUGCAAUUCUGGAAAAACUUCUGUUCAUAAUUUUCCCAUUUUGAAUAUUCAUUAUUGACAUUUAUCUGCAUCACAAAUGUAUCUACACCUGUUACAAGUCAAUUUCACGAAUCAAGAGGCUGGCAAUACAUUAGGAAGCCCAUUAGAAGUGAAAAGUUAUAUAGUAAAUUAUCCUUCAGUUAUGAAAGAAUAAUAUACUACAUUGACAGAUCUGUAACAGCACUAGAGUCCAAGAACAAAAUUAAUCCAAACUGAUGAAAUAGGCUACAGUAGAGGCUCAGUCACUGACAAGGGGCUAGUGUUCUGAGGUAAUAAGCAUAGUGCCCUGAGAAUC